rnacentral:rRNA from 1 species
GACGAACCGUGCGAACGUUGUUCGGAAUCACUGGGCUUAAAGGGCGCGUAGGCGGGCAUUCAAGUCAGGGGUGAAAUCCCACGGCCCAACCGUGGAAGGGCCUCCGAUACUGACGGGCUCGAGGGAGGUAGGGGCAGGUGGAACUUCCGGUGGAGCGGUGAAAUGCGUUGAUAUCGGAAGGAACGCCGGUGGCGAAAGCGACCUGCUGGACCUCUUCUGACGCUGAGGCGCGAAAGCCAGGGGAGCGAACGGG